CUGCAACAGACUUGAAGCUGGGAUUAUUUCACUGCAGGUCAGUUGCUCAAAGCAGCACUUAGGAAGGAGGAGCAGCUGUUGUCUGUGGAGGAAAUGAGAGGGGCACAGGUGCUCCCUGUAGAGAUUCAUUUGGCCCCACAGUCCAUAUUAUCAGGCUGGUCACUACACUCAUAUUUGCAGAGUUGCAAUUGGAAGGAGCAGAGGUCUGAAACAGAGAGGAUAAAGAGAGUCAGGGUGUUCUUUUUUUUUAUAGCUACUUCUCUUGUUUAAGCAAAAUUGCAGCCUGAGGCAUGAUAACAGAGCUAUCCAUGCAGGCAGUGUCAGUAUUUUCAUGCCAACGACAAAAAUCUCCUGAACUAUUUACUCUUGAGAAGCCAACACCUCUCCCAAAUACAGCAUUGCUGUGGUCGAUGUAUUCAUCUUCCAGACACCUGAAUAUGGAAAGGAAUGCAAAACGCACAGAAAAAGCAGAACCUGCCAGUCACCCCUCGGCGGCUGUUGACAUCUGAAAGGAUGGAUGCAGAAUUCAAGCGCAGCCAUCUUCAUCCAGUCACUCGUGUGCACAAUUUAGAGGGAAGAAACAAAGGCAUUUGAACCAUUUGCACAACAUAGAAGCUCUCCACCGCAAGUUUUUAAAGGGCUGGAGGCUUGCUGGGGAAGCUUUGAGGAGAGGGAGUAAUAAAGAAAAGAGGGUUUUAUGAUGCAAGGUCGAAUGGGAAACUUUUAUUGGAGGGGCUUGGCCAGCUCCUCAUCCCAUGGGGGAAAGGAGGAGGAAUUUGAACGUGGUGUUUUUGCUUUUGGAAGGUCAAAGCCAUUUCAUGCAACUGCAAAGCAGCAUAAGAGAAAUAUGCGUAUUCCUCUGUCAUGUCUGUCAAAAAUGGAGGAGGGGAGGAAGUCCCAAACACUACAUUUCAACAAAGCCCUGAAGGUAAAAAUGAUCUGCUGGCUUGAAAUUUAUCUUAAUGAGCAAAAUCCAGCCAAUGGAACAGGGUGCAGAUGAAAGUGACAGAUGGGAUCAUUUAAAGUUUGAUUCUUUGCAUGAAAGAAAAUACUAUUUUCAAUAAGUUAUUUUUCUUCUGUUUGUUACGGUGUUCUGUUUAGUGUCCCAGCCUCCAAUUGGCAGUCCCAGCUCUUUGGCAGAUUAAUUUAUCCAGGGUCAUAUCCUCAACUUUUGAAAAUUCAGAGUUUGAGGGAGCUCCUGGAACUCCUCAGCUCACGUAAGCGCGUGGAGCUGAUCCAACAGUCAGCGGCAAGUCUCCUCAGCCAAGAGAUUUUUGCUAGAUACGGACUGAGACCCCGAUUCUGAAGCUGUCCAAGAUCAGUCUGCUAAGAAUAUGAACAGUCAUCAAUCAGGUAGUCUGGAAGAGUAUACAGAAGUGUAUCAAUUUGUUCGCAAGUAUUUUCAGACACAAACAACUACAAGAAUUUACCACUGCUAUAUAAAAAUAUAGUCUGGGACCUAGUCAGGUUCAUAAAAGUUCCGUGAAGCUGGAGGAUGCAUUUCCUUGUAGGAGAUGUGUUGAAUUUUGAUGCUGAGAGGUGCUGUCAUACACCCCUUAGUGCACAGCAUCAUACAUGUCACUUAUCCUUAACAGGGGAAGAUAGGCAGGAGAAGGAAUGGAAUCAGUCCUAUGCAAUAAAAUAAUUGCUGUCUUCACCAUUUCCUUGCACAGGUAAUUCAUGUUACUGUAAUGUACUAUAAUGCAGCAUCUGUGUACAGCAUGGUGCAUACGCAACAUCAGCAGACCCUGCCACCAACAGCUGAGCAGGAGCAAAAGCAUUAACCCUCUCUCCUCUGUCCAGUUAUUUCCCGAUUAGAUCAAUUAGCAGUUAACAAAGGCCCAAGACAAGGAAGAGGUCAUCUGUUAGCUCCUUAUAUUUAAGCCUUCUUGGGUGAGAUUUUACAAACCACAUGGCAAGUGCUCGGUUGUGCAACCCCCCAGCCUGGAGGACAAAUUGCUCAGGUUGGCACCAGGGGGAAGAGGGAAAGCUAGAGCUGUGGUGGGGCUGCUGCUGGUUCCCAGCCACCCCUUCUGGGGGCCUGCAGCAUCCCAAACCUACCUCAAAAUGCUGAGCAGGAGGCUCAGACAGAGAAGGAGGCAGUCUGCACUGCUCACUGGCCAGAGGGGUGACUGCAGCACAGAGUAGGUACCAUCUGUAGCAGCUCCUCAAAAUACAACUCUUGUUCAGGGCAAGAAUGGACCUGGACAGGGGUUGCUAACUGCACGUGCCCUCCCUGCCAUGCUGCUCAGUCAGCUAGGAAGAGAAGAAAGUCAUUGCAAGGAAUUUCUUCAGCUGUAUUCCAACAGCAGAUUAAAAUAGCUGCUACUAUUUUAAUCUGGAGAAGUGGCAGCUACCGCACAUGCAGGACUGGCAGCAAGCAUGUCUCCCACAAAGCCUGGAUUCAAAGAGUGUCUUGUGCCUCUGGAAAUGCAACCACAGGCUGUAGCCAGAAGACCAGCCCUGGUAAAACAUAGCCCUGGGACAAUCUGACCCAACUGGCUAGAAUCUGGGAUCAGGAGGAAUAAAUUCAAGCUUCCUGUUUUUUUUUUUUUUUUCUUUAUUUUUUCCUUUUAGUUAUUGCAAAGUGUUGUAAUACUGUGAACCCUAAACAUUCUCAGGAAGCAACAAGACAGUGUUGUGCUCAAUGUUCUGUAUUUGCGUACAGCCCAGCUGGAGUUUGUCUGCUGAAAUCUGUGCGGUAACAUCCAGAUUUUAAAUAUUGAUUUUUAUUUUAUUCCAGAAGUUUCAUUGUAAUAUGGCAUGGAUAUUCUGUUUCCUUGUGGAUUUGUGAUGGCAGAGGAGGAAGACAGAGAGAAAGGUAACUGCAAGAACCCAUCUGUGGAAAUUUAAGACCUUCCUGUGAUUUUUUGCUUCUGCAUGUGAUUCCCUCUCACGCAAGUUAAUCCCCCAAGACUGUGUUGCCUGAAUGCAGCAUCAGUUUCAACAAGCAAAUAUUUAUCCUGCAUCCUAGGUGCAAUCUGUACACAGAAUGACUCCAAAUUAAGUUAAAUCGAUAUUAACUACUCUUAGAUUGAAGAGUGUCCAGGCAAAAGGGUGGUACUGCUUUAACUAACGGUUUCAAAGCCAAUGUAAUUAAUUGGUAUAUUUUUCACUGUGAAGGACAGAUUUCAUAUACUGUUCAGAUUUCUUGAAUGCCUUUGGACUAAAUCCCACUGUAUUUACUCCACACAGGACUGUCUAUUGAAAUAACAUUCGGUAAUAUUGUCCCUUUUCCCACUGCUCCUUUCAGAGCCACACAAAAUGAUUUCCCUCUUGGUUUUAGAAAGAUGCAACAAAUAAUGUGAGUGCUUUUAUAGCUUUUCUCUCCAGUGUGAAACUGCUGCUGAAGACCACUCUAUGUUAUCUGAGUUAGACUCUUAGCUAUCUCAACUGGGCAAAUGCUGCAGGUUUUGAUCUGAAGUAGGUCAGAGCCACCAGGUUUGUAUUAUACACCAGGUGGUGGGGACCUCAUGGUUUGUGUGUGCAAUUUUCAGUCCAUCCUCUUGCAGCCCUGUGCCCGCACACAAGUCCAUGCUGAGAAUGAAUGAAGGGACGGGGGGAUAUUUGAAAGGAGGAGUGUUUGGCAAAACUGCUAUUGCAGAGCAGCCCCUAUAUGUUAUGGGAGAGGGCACAAAAUGUUGCUUGGGCCAUAUGGUCUGCAGCCCUGUGCUUUGCUGGCUCACACCCUUUCUAAUGCCUGCUAAUCUGCUCAUAAGCACCUCUGAAGAGGGUGCUUCACACAACUCUACCAGUAAUCUCUUUCAAUGCCUGGUUGCUCUUUGGCUCUGAUGCCAGAUGGAAUUAAUAUACCCAUCACUGUAAUUAUUCAGACAAGUAAACAGUGGCAGGAGUAGUAGUGCAGCCGUCCCAACUUCUCACUUUUCCCACUGAUUCAGAGGCAUACUUGAAAGAAUCCUUUCAUCCCCAUGGAUCCCGUUCCCUGGAGUUGUCCCAGGCUGUCCUCAUCAAAAGGGAACUAGAUGUUUCAGCAGUUUCUCAGCCAAUUUCAUGCUGGGAUAAGAAUCAGUGGUGAUGAGGUGGUAUGAUUAUUUCAGCGUCUGACUGCUGCCCGGAAGCUUGGUACAUGUCCAGCCCCUCAUCAGGUCCUCCUAUGAAAUCUUUCACAGGACUAAGUCCUGUGUGUAAAAUGGAAAAUCUGUUUAUACCUCAAAACUUGAAAGGCAGCCUGCCUUUUGGCCUGCUCCAAUUGAUGGUUUGUGGAAAUGAGCAGCCUAGAUGGAUGGUUUCUGAGGCCAUGUGUUGGGAAAAAGAUACGUCUAAAAGCUUCAUGCAUGCAGCAAAUACUAUGCAUGUACCUCCUACCAAGCCCAUUGUCCCAAGCGUGAUUUCUACAAAGUUUAUUUAAUUAUUAAUUAAUAAAAAUAAAAUAUAAAUUACAUUUUUAAAAAUAAUUAAUUUAAGGCUGUCCAGUUCCCCAUAUAUCCAAAGAGCUUAGAGCAAUGUUUGUAUUUAUGAAGGUAAGAUCUAUAGGGAGAGGUAACUGCUAGAUGAGUUCAAUAGCUGGAAAAAAAAAAGAUGUGCUUUUGGACACUCCAAGCUCUCCUAGAUGCAUUGUGUGAUCCAGAGUGAGACGUUACGCUCUCAUCGAGUGUGCUUGGUUUUAGGAAUAAGCAGUGGUGAUGCCAUAGUGACAAGAAGAGAGGCUUUGAGGGCUUUGAUGCCCAUGUUACAAAGAAUAUGCAAACUUGUAUUAUUCCUUUGAUUAGCUGCUCUCUGAUAUGUCAAGUCCAUGAAUAAUCAAGCCUCAUUUUCUAAUUAGUUUUACUCAUCACCCUGCUGCUCCGUGCCUUUACUCAUUUGCAUACCUUUUUUCUAGAUAAGGGCCUUAUUCUGUGAGGCACUGGCAAAGCUUCUAUCCGGCUCCCAUGAUUGCAUUUCUUUGGUUCUUUGCUGGGCAUUUCCUUGCUCUCAGCUCUGCUUCUCCUCCCAUGUGAUGCUAGGGCCCUGCCUGCAGAAGAUCUCAUUGCUCUGUGCUUUUCUACUCUUUCUAAACCUUGUUUCCCCAGGAAACAGGAUGGUGUGUUCAGGCUGCCUAGCUGACCCCACUGACAUCUUUUGACCCUGAUACCCAAUUUCACCCAGCCUUGACAGCCAAGAAAAUCUACCUGUUUCUACAAAUCUUGUGGAAGCAGGACGGGGACAGCUCCUUCUGCAUUAGUGGAGGACAAAGCUGGAGCAUGUUCUUCAUCGCUUUGAGGACCCACUGUGGAAAGAGAGGUUUUAACGCGCUCACCACAAACACAUUUAGCCAUCAGCUGAGAGAGACCAUUCCACGAGAGAAAGCAGUAGCCAUUGGGCUGGUGGCAGGGUUAAGCAGUCACCAUUUGUCAACCAAAAGCGGAAGUGAAAUUCAGAUGCUGUGAAGGUCUUUAAAAAAGCGACAGGAAUGUGAUAAUCUGUCCCACGUGAAAAGCUAACAAGAGUUUCCAAAAGCUGCAAACAUCAGUCUUGGGCUUGAGGCACAAGGCUUUGUGCUCAUCUAUCUGGGCAAAUACCUGGUGCCUCUACAUACAAGCCACUGCCUUUCAAAAAGUUUCUGCAGGUAAACAGGGGUCAGCUCAAGAUGAGAUCCUGCACCAGCUCGGCUUGACCCUGCUUUCAUAUCGGCUUUGUUCCUUUAACUCCUUUUUUAAAGCAGCUCCUUGCUUUGUACCAGCAGAAGCAUGCCCCUGCCUGACCAGGGAGUGCAUUAUCCAUGGGGGACCGCAGACUUUUAUCUCAUUCGGGGUGAAUUUCACUUCUGUAGUGCCUAAGCUAAUGUUUUGUGUCCCUGGAUCAAAGCUAGGGAGCAUCAUUUGCAUACCGUGGGUGAGGAGGCAGCAGACUGGAGACCAUCACUCAUCAGUGAAAGGAUGAUCAUUGUUUGUUUAGCCCAUUCCAGAAUAAUGGCUCUGCUGGGAACACCAACCCAGUAUGCAUCAUAUCUUUUAUAGUAUAUAUUAAUUUAGUGUAGACAUUAGGCCAUCAUUAUUCCCUCCUUUUAAUUCUCAUGUAUUAGCAUUCAGGAGCAGUUUUAACCCAGCACACAUCUUUGUUAUUUUGUAAUGUAAAAUAAAUAAAGCUGGAGGCAAAUGUAUUUUUUUUUAAAUAAAUGACUGUGAGAGGCUGAUGGAUAUAAAGCACAGAAACAUCUUUAUAAUUUUAAAGCUCGAAUUUCAGAACACAGCAUUUUCAUUAAAUGGUGCAAUCCAUUCAUUUUGGAGAGACAGAUAUAAACAG